GAUGAACGCUGGCGGCGUGCCUAAUACAUGCAAGUCGAGCGAACAGACGAGGAGCUUGCUCCUCUGACGUUAGCGGCGGACGGGAGAGUAACACGUGGAUAACCUACCUAUAAGACUGGGAUAACUUCGGGAAACCGGAGCUAAUACCGGAUAAUAUAUUGAACCGCAUGGUUCAAUCGUGAAAGACGGUUUUGCUGUCACUUAUAGAUGGAUCCGCGCCGCAUUAGCUAGUUGGUAAGGUAACGGCUUACCAAGGCGACGAUGCGUAGCCGACCUGAGAGGGUGAUCGGCCACACUGGAACUGAGACACGGUCCAGACUCCUACGGGAGGCAGCAGUAGGGAAUCUUCCGCAAUGGGCGAAAGCCUGACGGAGCAACGCCGCGUGAGUGAUGAAGGUCUUCGGAUCGUAAAACUCUGUUAUUAGGGAAGAACAAAUGUGUAAGUAACUAUGCACGUCUUGACGGUACCUAAUCAGAAAGCCACGGCUAACUACGUG
rnacentral:rRNA from 1 species